ensembl:lncRNA
GAGGAGCUCCAGAGAGGGUGGCGGCCCCUCUACCUCUUGCUGCCUCGCUCUCUGGGUUUGCCGCGGAGGAAAGCACGUGCUUCCCCUGCAGUCUGCCAGCAGCCUUGGAAUUUUGGAGGGAAAGAAUGUUGCAGACGCUGAGGUAAAAGGAUCCAGCAAGGCCAUGGUCCUGCCACCAUCUACCCAGAGAACUGUCCAAGUAGAAACAGAGUACCACAUCUUAACAGGAAAGAAAAAAAAUCGGACCUGGACUGUAGAUGAAAUGCAAAGCUAUAGAGAUACAAGAGUGAAGUCUAAAGGGAGGUAUCGUUGCUUCCUCUAGCUACUGUAAAUGAAUGAGCAGUAUGGAAAUGAAUGGAAAAGCGUUACAUGAGGUACCAAAAGAAAUGAUGUUAUUUUCAGGAUUGUGAGCUUCUGUAACUCCAGUUAACAUUAAGAUGAAAAUGUGCAGACGCCGCCCUCCCUGGAAGCAUUCAAGGCCAGGCUGGAUGGUGCUGUGAGCAACUUGGUCCAGAGGGAGGUGUCCCUGCUUAUAGCAAUGGGCUGGAACUAGAUGAUCUUAAAGGGCCCUUCCAACACAAACCAUUCUAUGAUUCUGUAACUUUCAGGAGCUUGUUUAUACGUUUUGUUCUAUAAGCCUGUGUGUCUUUAGACUUGAUUAAGUAUGGAACAGUUUUGAUGUUCUAAAAAACUACAAUUUAUACAGACAUAUACUUAGAAUUUUAUGCAAGUAUGCUCAUCAGGAACAUUAUCUGCAGCUCAUUUAUUUCUACUGACAAAAAAAAAAGCUAUUCAUUGAAUAAAAAAUACAUGGCAACAUAUCAUAUGAGAACCAUGUCCACAAUACAGAUUCUCCAAUUGCUGAAGACUCCAGGAGGAGCAUGUGUGGCUUGAGGGUCUCACGCUGAUAAAUAAUAGAUGGGUUGAGAACAGCAUAGGAGCAGCAGAUGUUACUGUUUUGAUUCAAAGUGCUGAGUGACUGGCAGUGCGGUGUUGUCUUGUGCUUGGUUGAAAGGGACACUUGUGAUAAAUUUCCUGUAAUGCCCAACACCUCUCACCUUUUUGUAAGAUGUUGUUACCAGGGAGAAGUAUGAAAAGGUUAGAAGUAUUGCAUAUUACGUGACAUUUAUAGAAAACAUAUGUCUGUGUAGAGAAUGGAAGGUAGUUUUAGGGGAAAUAAGUGUUCUGGAUCCUUCACAGGACACACUAAGAAAUCUAACAGAAGGAAGUAGAGCGAAGGAUAUUCACACAAGCUCCUCACCUUAAGACAUGAGCCUCUGUGGGGUUCCUGUGUGGGGGGAGAGAAAACAAAGCAAUUGUUCCGUAAAGCACAGUUUGGAUAAGGAGUAUGAUAUAUUCCCUGCUGCUGUGUAACACAGGGUAUAAACUAAUCAGAGAAUAUGUAAAUGCUUAUUUUAAUGUGGCAUUUCUGAAAUGAGAAUCAAUCUAAAAGUUUUCAAGUGUGCUAAAACUAAUGGUUCUCCUCUAGGAAAAUGUUUUCUCUUUAUCGAUACGUUUAAUCACACAUGUAUAGCAUUAUGCGCAUCAUUUUACUGCCUAUAUAUUGAACAUAUUCUCCAGUUGGUUUUAGUAUAAAUAGAUACGAUUUCAGAGAAUAAUUUGUCUACUGACAAAAGAAUUUUCUAACAGUAAGGAUAAUUAUGAAUGUGUCACUUCAUUAGAAAAUGAAAUAAAAUAAAAUAUAAGCAGUCACAAAACACAUAGAAUAGAGAGAAUUUGUCAUUAAUCAUCACAUAUCUCCUGGGAAAGACAUUUUCAUACUUCCUUUCUUAAUAAUGGGUUUUGGUGAUCCUUCAGGUCCUUGAAGUUAAAUGAUCACCUUGCUUGCUUUCACUGGAUAUUGAACCUUUCAGUGAAGCGACAGACACGGAUCAUUAUUUGGUCACCAUGAACUGUUCUUUACUGAAUUCGAGAGAAACUAAUUUCACCCAUGAAUGUUUCAAACUUCAGUAGUAUUAAGAAAGUGAAGCAACUUCUAUGCUUGCUAAAAAACCUUGCUAUGUCUUUUAAGCUAUACACUCUGUAAAAAGCUUACUGCUACUAGUAAUCUUACAGUAUGCCCACCUUUCAGACCUCCUGAAGGAUAAAGUGCUUAAUGAAUGUCAGCUGCCCCUUUUAACUUCCAAAGUAAGAUGUAUUCUGAAAGACAUUCCAAUUGUUUAGUAUUCUUCUGUUUUCAUACAACUAACAGAAUAAUUAAAAUAAUGCUUUGGCUGAGAUCACAAAAUUGCUGAGCUGACACAAUGUUUAAGAAAUACAGCAGAUACAAAUUAUGAUGUUCUUAAGAUGUCUGAAGAAAAGAGUUGCAUAGCUCUUUUAUUUUUAGGAUAUCAUGUUAAAUAUUAUUAUUGGGAGAUCAAUAAACAUACUGACGUUAGGAAGGUUUGGAAUUACUAUGGAAGUAAUAAGGAAUAAGCGGAAUAAGGCUUCUGAGUUCUCUUUCAUUGAAUCAUUGAAUCAUAGAAUGGCUUGGCUUGGAAGGGACCUCAGGGAUCAAAUUCCAUCCUCCCUGCCGCAGAUAGUUCUGCCAACCACUAAAUCAGUUGAUCAGAUUGCCCAGGGCCCAGUCCAUCCUGGCCUUAAACACCACCAGGGAUGGGGCAUCCACAGCCUCUCUGGGCAGCCUGUUCCAGCACCUCAACACCUUUCCUGUGAAGAAUUUAUCUCUGACAUCUAACCCAAAUAUUUCCUCCUUUAGUUUAGAAGUUUAAAAAGUUGUCCUAUCACUAUCAACCUGUGUAAAAAGUUGAUUUCCCUCAGGUUUAUAAUCUCCCUUUAAAUACUGGGAGGGUGUAAUGAGAUCUCCUUGCAGCCUUCGCUUUUCCAGACUGAACAAACCCAACUCCACUGGUCUGUUUUCAUAGGAGAGGUGCUCCAGCACUCUUCUCUUUCUCUUCUCUUUUUCUUUUUGUUGUUGCUGCACAUUAUAUUUGUAAUUUACAUCAGCAAAGAAUCUGGUAUUGUAUUAUAUUUAAUCAGUCUCUCUGUUUUCUUGGGCUUUCUGUUUGCUGUUAGGAGUAGCUAUUUAGUGUUUUUUUUCCCAUUCUCUGGUAACAGUCUCUGUAUUGGCACAUGAUUAUAGAUCUUUCCCUUAGAUGGAAAUUUAUGCAAAGCUUUUUAAUACUCUGCAGCCAGAGUUUUAGAAAGAAAUUGCUCAGGAAGUAGCUAUCAUCAAUUUAAAUGCUAUAAAAAGCGUUCAGAUAUGCUGAGUUCUCUCUCUAGGAAAAAACAAUUAUAACAGAACCAUGCCAGAUUUGUUUCGAAGUAGUAUUUUACAACAGUGAGUUUUGGUAUUUGUUUACCUGAAAAGUAUUCUGUGACUGGUAGGAAAAUUGACAGCCCAGCCUUGAAAAUGUCUGCUUAAAAAUAUAGUUGUCGUGUGGCCUGCUAACCUUUUGCCAUGAGGGUGUAUGUAGACACCCCUUGGUCUUAAACAGAGUGGUGUAGUCCACUGUUGCUUCCUCUUUAUAUUUUAGAGGUUUAACACAACUUGUAAAGAGGAAAAGCUAAUCUUAAAAACAUUUAUAUGGUUGAACAGUAUUCUUGAUUUUGUAUAAAAGUUUACUUGGAAAUCAUUUACAGGUUUACAAGCCUUAACCAGAAGUCAGACUGCCACAAUCUCUUCGGUGCCCAGCAGCACUGUUUGGUAGCAGCAGGUGAACAGCCCUACACUUGGACAUAGACAGAGAAAAGGCAGCUGACAUUGGAACAAGAACAACAGGGAAGGGAUAUCGGGAAACUAUCUGGUAGAUUUCUUUAAAGGGACAGUUAUCUUAUCUGGCCUGACUUACUGGUACUGUUUACUCAUAACAGUGAAAUAUUUUAUGUAGUUUUUCCUCCUUUUACACUAUAAUUUCAUGUGGCUUGUGCAGUGCCUUAGCUGGGAGAGUAGGGAAGAAAUCCUUAUGGAGUCUUUGUCUUCCUCCUAGGUCACUCCUUAGAGGUCUUCUGAAUGGCCCAGCUCACCUGUCUGGUGAAGCUUGGAGGUUAAAGGGAAGUGGGUAAUGUCUGAAUAUGGAUCCUUAAACUAUUCCAUAUGCAGUAAAUUACAACUAGCGAUGGCUGACAAGUUGCAGACAUCCUACACUGCCUGUGAAGAACUUGGUGGAUUAUUAGAGCAGCUAGUUAAAUGUAGUGUUCAAACAGAUUUCAGUAUAUCUUUCUUCCUAAGCAUAUAGGAAAAUGUGUUUAUGGUCUCUUAAGCAUCUGGGAGAGAUAAAUACAUCUAUUCAUUGUACCUGGAAAAGACAUACUGGCAUUGCUGUUAAAACAGGAAGGAGAUACAAUGUAUACAUUUCUUUGUACUGUUAUUACCAUAGCUUAUUUCUCUGCUUCUAUUGCAGGUUCUCACUUAGCUCUGUAGCAUUCUCUUCUGUUCAAAAGUAAUACCUUUCAUUCAUAAAGUGUUUUUCAGACCAUAGUCUGAAGUACCGCCUAUAAACCCCAAUAAAGGUAACAGAAAUAUCUUGGCAAUUACAAAGCAUAUUGUAAGUUUGGUGAUUUUGUAUUUAAUUGCUAUUUACCAAGUAACAUUGAGACAAGCUGUUAGAAGAGUAAAUUAAAAAGAUAUACUAAUCCAUAUCAUAUUUAACACACUCAUCUGUCAUCACAUUAGGUUAUGAUUUUAUCUGUUAAAUCAUGUUUAUAAAAUCAGUACAGAAUUCCUAUAAAUAUAUAUGUACUUCUCUAUUAGUUAUAUUUUUCAGCUUCUUAACCAUUCAGAAUACAUUUCCCCUGUGUUAUGCUGUUGUUUCCUAAGCAUUGCAUAUUCUAUUACCAAGAAAGAAGUCAGCAUUUAGUUAUUGGCAUCUCAUGGUGUAUUUCAUUCUUUUUCCUCCAGGACAACCCAAAUUCUUGGGGCAGACGUACUUGUUAUAGUUGUACAUUGUGACAAACAAAAAAACCAGUAAGACUGAGUAUAUUAAAAGUGA